ACAACAACAAUAACAAGCACGAAACCACAGAACAAAAACAACACGUAACGACUCCAGCACAACAAAAACAAAAUCGCGGAGGCGCAGCUAACUGAUUCUUUUGGAGGAGAGUAGCUGGCGGGAGAAAUCCCGCAACCGAUCGAAGAACAAUAAAACUGCCUCGAGGCAGCGGCGAAAUCGGUUGGAUCGAAAGAUCACUGCUCACUCAGCGACCAAAGCAAUCCGUUUGCUCUUGUCGAUCCCGAAUGGGAAUGCCUCGAAGCGGCUAGCCUCGAGGACGGGUCUACAAACAAAAACAACAAGCCCGGCAUCAUAACAAGAACAAAGCACGCACCUACUUGGGGGGGAGCUUCGGCUCCCCCAGUAGCUUUCCCCGCUC
rnacentral:sRNA from 1 species